UGUUGGCAACCCUGUGCUACAGCUGACUGAUAGUCGGUGCGGUAACAUUGCUAAUGAGGGAGGAGCGAACAAGGAAGAGCUGCGGAGUUAAGAACAACUUUGUGUCGGUGUUAGGAGUGGGGAACCAUUGUAAGGGACCAGGAUCCAGAAAUCAGCUAUGGCCAUUUCAAAAUGUCUUCCAGUCCUGAAGCACUUUAUUGGUGGAUAUUCUUUGAAAACAGGAGCAAUUUUCACAGGAUGGCUGGGUUUGGGUGCGGAUGUGUUGGAAUUGGUGCUUUCUGUGGUGUAUUUCCUUGCGUAUGGCAGACAAUUACCUGACUGGGAGUUGCUGCUCGUUAGUGCAGUGGGUGGAUGCGCUGUAGGUGGGAGUGUCUGUGGACUGCUUUUGUACGGAGCCUACAAAGCAAAGCGUUCUUUCCUGGUGCCGUACCUGAUACUGGGAGCUCUAGGCAUCAUCUCAAGUUCUCUUGUUAUAUCCAUUAUUGGCAUUUAUGCUGUCUUACAUGACUUUAAUACCUUUGCUGCCUCCAUGAUGCUUAUUGGAGCACUGAUAAUUGUUUUCUUGGCUUAUUUGUGGCUGAUUGUCUUCAGUUACUACCAGCAGCUUCAAAAGUGUACUUUGCUCGAGCAUCGAGGCUCUGUGGAAACUGUUCUCACUAUGCCAGAAAACGGAGACGUCCACACGUCACAUCACAAGUUUCUCCUUCGUGGAAAAUGUGAUGGGGCAGCCACUGGUCACAUUCCAGACACAAAACAACUGAUCUGCGAUGAGAAGUAGUGUUUCGGCAAUGCUGCAACUUUGCGACUCGGUAGCAAAAUGAAUUCAGCAACAUAAUUCUGAAGAUGCUACUUAAAAUUUGACGAAAGAAUAGCUGCAUUUUAUAUAUAAGAAUAAUUUCAAAACAUAUGCUUAUGUUUUAUUAAAAAUGUUAAUCUGUAACUGAAUUAGUAAUCAGCGAAUCUAAAUUAUGCAACAACUAGUUCCAUUAUACAUCUCGCUUGUACUUAUUAGCCACCCCAAUUUCUCGUGGAGCGUUGUAGGUUCUGCUCAGUUAUCUUAUUCUAUUUGAUACUCUAACCACGAGAGAUGAUUUAGCAUCAUUUAGUCUUCCUUUUCCUAAGAUAUUUCCACUUCAACUAAUAAUGGCGUUACCCAUCCUGUGUUCACACAUAAUUAAAUGAUGUUACGUGCGAUGUAGCCAGGUCCAAAAAACAGGCGUACACCUCGAAGUGUACAGGGAAUAAGGGCAUUUGACCCUGGCUUGAAUUUUUAAUUCUUAUGCUUUGUGGGAGACUACAGCUUCUGCUACCACUCUACUCCUUUCAUGGCCAACAUUCCAUGUUGACGGACUCGGAUAUUAUGGAGCCUAUUCUUGAUUAGACAGGAAAGCUCUUAAACAAUAAAGUAUUAUUAUAUAAACAGUAGUCCUUUGUAUUAUUAUUUAUGAAUGUUGUGAACAAAUUGCUUGCCCACGUUGAGCGAAAAGGAAAAAUAAUCUUCCCUGCUUUCUUCUGUUUGUGGUGAAACCUGUCGAGCGGUGCCAUGAAUCUCGCACUUUUUUAAUGCGACGCUGACAUGUUUCAAAGUCGAAAUGUAGGAGAAAGAUUAAAGUAAAGCUGCCCCACUGGACAGGUGAUAUAGCUCCUCAUUCUUAAUCUCGGCCUUAGAUGGGGUGAGCAGUUAGCAUCACGCCGCUUCCACGCUUUACCCCAGGGAAAGGACUCUGUGAAAAAGAUUAGAGGGAAACACAUUUAUCGGGUUGCUUGUAUUUCGUCACUCUGUGACAGACUCGUCACUUUCUUCUGCUCUGGGUGCUGCUGACAUUGACUCAGCUCUCCAAUGUGCAAGUCAGCUGGUCGCUGAGAAGUGACCAGAAUUUUCACCACGGACGAUAAUAAACAUUUUUAGUCUUUCUUUUCCAAAUGCAAAUUUAAGUUUAUGACGUCAUUGUGCUUACAGCAUGCGUCUGUCCGUACCUCACAAAAUUUUCUGCAAGUAUAAACUUUUAAUAACAUUUCGUAUGAACGAUAUACCAUCGGCAGCUAAUCGAUAAUCGAUAAUAACAACAUGGCGGACGCAAGAAUUUGUUAAGUGAGUGUCACAGUAGUACCAGUUACGACAAAUUUGACGUUUGUGAAGACCGUAGGCCACUGUACUCCACAGAUGGCGUACGUGGCCCUCAUUGUGUGGACAACAAUAACCACCCCGGAUUUCCUAACCGAGAAACAUAAUGGCGUUAAGACGAAGCGAGGGGAGGGGCGGAUUGUAGAAUCAGCAGGAGAAAUCGGCGUCGAUCUCAAGUCGAUCCAUAUCAAAAUCUACAUUGACUUAUGGCAAUACGAGGCAGUGACGACAGGGUAGACCCAUCUUGAUCCUGCCGUACCUCACGCUGAGCGUUCAGAUCUAUUUCUACAACCUGCAGGGAACGUACCUGUUCUGCGUCCACGUACUGUCACAUGACAGCGUAUUGAGACUUCUUCUGCUCUGCGAAACCACAGUUUGUUUCGACGUAUUCACUUUUA